UACGUAGGGUGCAGGCGUUAAUCGGAAUUACUGGGCGUAAAGCGUGCGCAGGCGGCUAUGCAAGUCAGGUGUGAAAUCCCUGGGCUCAACCCAGGAACUGCGUCCGAUACUGGUUGGCUUGAAUCCGGGAGAGGGAUGCGGAAUUCCAGGUGUAGCGGUGAAAUGCGUAGAUAUCUGGAGGAAUACCGGUGGCGAAGGCGGCAUUCUGGACUAUUACUGACACUGAAUCGCGAAAGCUAGGGGAGCAAACGGG
rnacentral:rRNA from 1 species